ACUCCUGCGGGAGGCAGCAGUGGGGAAUUUUGGACAAUGGGCGAAAGCCUGAUCCAGCCAUGCCGCGUGCAGGAUGAAGGCCUUCGGGUUGUAAACUGCUUUUGUACGGAACGAAACGGCCUUUUCUAAUAAAGAGGGCUAAUGACGGUACCGUAAGAAUAAGCACCGGCUAACUACGUGCCAGCAGCCGCGGAAUACGUAGGGUGCAAGCGUUAAUCGGAAUUACUGGGCGUAAAGCGUGCGCAGGCGGUUAUGUAAGACAGUUGUGAAAUCCCCGGGCUCAACCUGGGAACUGCAUCUGUGACUGCAUAGCUAGAGUACGGUAGAGGGGGAUGGAAUUCCGCGUGUAGCAGUGAAAUGCGUAGAUAUGCGGAGGAACACCGAUGGCGAAGGCAAUCCCCUGGACCUGUACUGACGCUCAUGCACGAAAGCGUGGGGAGCAAACAGGAUUAGAAACCCCAGUAGUCCCAUGAU
rnacentral:rRNA from 1 species